rnacentral:misc_RNA from 1 species
UGGGCCUAGGGUGUGCACAUGCAAACAUUUCAUUGAGCCCUUAACUCUAAAAGCCAUUAAAAUGAUGGUGUUCUGCAAAAUAUGAAUCUCAAAAACCAUUUUAAGCAGCUUUAUAGUGGAAGAGAAUUUUGCAAAAUGUAACCAUUUAAUGACUCUCAAGGCUCAGGAGGGGCCUACUUCUUCCAAAAAAUUUGGUUACAUCCAUUUUAGCCUUUCAUCUCAAUAAAAAUGUUGGUAUGAGCACACAUCAAAGAUAAAUUGGAUACAAUUAAAACUAAAUCAGUAACAUGACCAAAUUGAUAAAAUUUAAACAUAGUAUACAAGUUUUACCAAAUGUUAGACCAGUAGCCCUAUUAAUGAUAAGCACAAUAACUAAGUUGUACGCAAAAAAAAAAAGAAUUAAGGGAUGAAGGUAGUUAGCAAGACUGAGUCUUUAUACUUGGCAAUAGUAAACCUUAUUCCUGA